UUUAAAUAUUUUUAUAAACUUUGUUUGAGUUCUGAAGUCUGUUUUGUCUUUGGAGUCCUAAUUUUGAUGAUCCCCAAAGAUAAAAAUUUUCAUAGUAUAAUUUGAUCCAAAAAUUAAACUGAAUCGAAACAAACCAUAAUAAAAAUCAUCCGAACUAAAUCAAAUCGUUUUAAUUUCCUCAUAAUAGAAUCAGAUCAAAAUUAUUAAUUUGAUUUAUCAGUUCAAAAUUCUGAACCGUACUAAAACGUUAUAAAAAAGUGUUUUCAAGCUGAAUAAUUUGUUAAAUAUCUAAACCCUUAUACUUUUAUCAAUGUUUUUUAAUAAAUAAUUUUAAAUUUGUUUUUAAUAUUUUUCUUUAUUCAAUUUUGAUUCUAUUAGUUUUAGUUCGGUUCUGAUUCGAUUAGUUUUGGUUCGGUUCAACGGUUUUUGAACACCUGAAACUUAUAUUUUAAAGAAAUACAUUUUGAUUCUUGUUUUGACAAGGAAUAUUUCUUAAUUCACUUCGAUAAGCCCGAUGCUGCAGCUAUAAUAAGGCCCAAUGGUUGGAAAUCAAUUAUUUCAUAGUUUGUAUAUAUGUGUAGGUGUUUCCUCUCAUCUGAACUUCAUUAAGCAUUUUUCAUCAUCCAUUACAAAAGACAGCUAGCUCACAAAUCACUUUUUCUUGUCUUUCUCUUCUUCUAUACAUAACCAAAAUAUUCACUUGUUCAUCACCAACUUAUCAAUAAGUCAAUUCUAAGAUUAUAACCAUGAUUCUAAUGCCACUAAUGUUAACUUCAUUGAUGAAGCUUGCAAAGGCACUAGUGUGUGAACCUACUUCAACUCUCACAACAAUUCUCUAUUAUGGAAACUUGCUUCCUAGAAAUCUUAACUUGGGGAGAUUAGUGAGAAGAGAGUUUCUUCAACAAGACAAUUAUUUCUUCCAUUUUCUCAUUGGAAUGUUGAGGUGUGUAUGGUGAUUGUUGUAUUAGGACAUAGGUAUCAAAUUAUGUGGUAAUUGAAGGGAACAAAUUAGUGUAUGUACUUAUGGAGGCACACCAUGUGAUAUUUGUUCAAAAGGAAUGUAUGAGGAUUAAUGUAGAUGUUUCAUAUUUCCAGAGACAUGUUAUUUUCUUUCUUUUCCACA